rnacentral:rRNA from 1 species
AUUGAACGCUGGCGGCAGGCCUAACACAUGCAAGUCGAACGAGCGGCGGACGGUUGCGUACGGUAUGGGGGCUGCCCGUUAGAGGGGGAUAACUACUGGCACAGGUAGCUAAUCACGCAUCCUAUCGGAUAACCCAUAUGGGAUUAGAUAGUAGGUGAGGUAAUGGCUCACCUAGGCGACGAUCCCUAGCUGGUCUGAGAGGAUGAUCCGCCACACUGGGACUGAGACACGGCCCAGACUCCUACGGAGGCAGCAGUGGGGAAUAUUGCACAAUGGGCUCAAGCCUGAUGCAGCCAUGCCGCGUGUAUGAAGAAGGCCCUAGGUUUGUAAAGUACUUUCAGUCGGGAGGCGGUACCGACAGAAGAAGCACCGGCUAACUCCGUGCCAGCAGCCGCGGUAAUAC